rnacentral:rRNA from 1 species
AGCUCCAAUAGCGUAUACUAAAGUUGUUGCGAUUAAAAAGCUCGUAGCUGGAUCUCAGGUAUGGGCGCACGGUCCGCUUCCGCUUCGCUUCGCGGCGGUCACUGUGUUCCCAUCCUACGCUUCCCGGUUGUUCAGCCCAUGGUGCUCUUGACUGAGCGUUUUGGGUGGCCGGGACGUUUACUUUGAAGAAAUUAGAGUGCUCAAAGCAGGCGCGUCGCCUGAAUAAGGUUGCAUGGAAUAAUGGAAUAGGACCUCGGUUCUAUUUUGCUGGUUUGCGGAACGUGAGGUAAUGAUUAAGAGGGACAGACGGGGGCAUCCGUACUGCGAUGUUAGAGGUGAAAUUCUUGGAUCAUCGCAAGACGAACAACUGCGAAAGCAUUUGCCAAGCAUGUUUUCA